rnacentral:rRNA from 1 species
GGGAGUGCUCGCAAGAGAACCGGAACACAGGUGCCGCAUGGCUGUCGUCAGCUCGUGUCGUGAGAUGUUGGGUUAAGUCCCGCAACGAGCGCAACCUUGUCAUUAGUUGCUACGAAAGGGCACUCUAAUGAGACUGCCGGUGACAAACCGGAGGAAGGUGGGGAUGACGUCAAGUCCUCAUGGCCCUUAUGGGUAGGGCUUCACACGUCAUACAAUGGUCGGGACAGAGGGUCGCCAACCCGCGAGGGGGAGCCAAUCCCAGAAACCCGAUCGUAGUCCGGAUUGUAGUCUGCAACUCGACUACAUGAAGUCGGAAUCGCUAGUAAUCGCGGAUCAGCAUGUCGCGGUGAAUACGUUCCCGGGUCUU